rnacentral:rRNA from 1 species
GAUGAACGCUGGCGGCGUGCCUAAUACAUGCCAGUCGAGCGAACAGACGAGGAGCUUGCUCCUCUGACGUUAGCGGCGGAAGGGUGAGUAACACGUGGAUAACCUACCUAUAAGACUGGGAUAACUUCGGGAAACCGGAGCUAAUACCGGAUAAUAUAUUGAACCGCAUGGUUCAAUAGUGAAAGACGGUUUUGCUGUCACUUAUAGAUGGAUCCGCGCCGCAUUAGCUAGUUGGUAAGGUAACGGCUUACCAAGGCAACGAUGCGUAGCCGACCUGAGAGACUGAUCGGCCACACUAGAACUGAGACACGGUCCAGACUCCUACGGGAGGCAGCAGUAGGGAAUCUUCCGCAAUGGGCGAAAGCCUGACGGAGCAACACCGCGUGAGUAAUGAAGGUCUUCGGAUCGUAAAACUCUGUUAUUAGGGAAGAACAAAUGUGUAAGUAACUAUGCACGUCUUGACGGUACCUAAUCAGAAAGGCACGGCUAACUACGUG